AGGCACUGCGGCUUCUGGUAAUUAACCACCAAAUGGAUAGUCAACUAUCACAGGAAACUUGGCCAAACCUGUGUGGAUUUUGAAGCUGACGAAUAGCACCCUAAUGUGUUUGGUUAGUCUGAAGUGCAUGAUGAAGAUAUGAAAUGGACAGUUUAAAGGGUAAAAUGUAUGAAAAGGGAUCAUUAACAACAGGCAAUUGGCCAGAUACAGUAGCCCAGGAAUAAUGGCUUCAUACUUAGAAAUUAGUAAUGCGGAGAGUCAAUGAGACUUACGAAUUCAACACUAAGGCUUACAAUUGGUACCUUGACCGUGCGAGGAGGAGUCGAUUUUAACUACAUUUGACUUAUGUAUGUGAGAAGGGAGACAGUUGCCCAUAUGGAUAAACUUGGUUUGGGGCCAACAUAUCUCAGUUAGUCAAGAAAUGGAGAAAUACAAGAAAUGUAGAAACACCAACAACGUUUAAGAUUUUGGUCUGACGAAUGCGGAGUUUAUGAAAGGCGAAGCAGUCAACAUGUGCAAGCUAUCAAGGAAUGAAGAGUCAUGCAGAUUGGCAUGACCAGGCAGCUUACACUGUACAGUAAAGAAGUGGAAAAAUACGGAUUGUACUUAUUUAGGACCCAUUUAACGGCAUCAUCUGCAACCACUGUUUACCUAUGGUAUCCUCCUGUAUACAUACUCAGAUGCUUGGUACAAUGGAACCUCUACGUACAUACGAAAGUCCCUACGUACGAAAAAUUCAGGUUAUGAAAGCAAAGAAAGAUUUUUUUGCUUCUGUAUACAAAAAUAAUUCAGGUUGU